CCAAUAGCGUAUAUUAAAGUUGUUGCAGUUAAAAAGCUCGUAGUUGAAUUUCGAGAUCAAAUUGUUGGUCGUGCCUCGGUACGUACUGGCAUUAUUGAUUUCUCCCUUCUGAAGAACCACGAUGUCAUUAAUUUGGUGUCGUGGGGAAUCAGGACUGUUACUUUGAAAAAAUUAGAGUGUUUAAAGCAGGCUCACGCUUGAAUACAUUAGCAUGGAAUAAUGAAAUAGGACGUUUGAUUCUAUUUUGUUUGUUUAUAGGAUCGACGUAAUGAUUAAUAGGGGUAUUUGGGGGCAUUAGUAUUCAAUUGUCAGAGGUGAAAUUCUUGGAUUUAUUGAAGACUAACUACUGCGAAAGCAUUUGCCAAGGAUGUUUUCAUUAAUCAAGAACGAAAGUUAGGGGAUCGAAGACGAUCAGAUACCGUCGUAGUCUUAACCAUAAACUAUGCCGACUAGGGAUCGGAUGAUGUUAAUUUUUUAAUGACUCAUUCGGCGCCUUACG
rnacentral:rRNA from 1 species